CUAUGCGCCUUGCCAGCCCGCUCAGGUGUGCCAGCAGCCGCGGUAAUACGUAGGGUGCAAGCGUUAUCCGGAUUUAUUGGGCGUAAAGGGCUCGUAGGCGGUUCGUCGCGUCCGGUGUGAAAGUCCAUCGCUUAACGGUGGAUCCGCGCCGGGUACGGGCGGGCUUGAGUGCGGUAGGGGAGACUGGAAUUCCCGGUGUAACGGUGGAAUGUGUAGAUAUCGGGAAGAACACCAAUGGCGAAGGCAGGUCUCUGGGCCGUUACUGACGCUGAGGAGCGAAAGCGUGGGGAGCGGACAGG
rnacentral:rRNA from 1 species